rnacentral:rRNA from 1 species
CGGAAGCCUGACGGAGCAACGCCGCGUGAGGGAUGAAGGCCUCUGGGCUGUAAACCUCUUUUCUCAAGGAAGAAGAUCUGACGGUACUUGAGGAAUAAGCCACGGCUAAUUCCGUGCCAGCAGCCGCGGUAAUACGGGAGUGGCAAGCGUUAUCCGGAAUCAUUGGGCGUAAAGCGUCCGCAGGCGGCCUUGAAAGUCUGUCGUUAAAGCGUGGAGCUUAACUCCAUUUAAGCGAUGGAAACUGCAAGGCUAGAGUGUGGUAGGGGCAGAGGGAAUUCCCGGUGUAGCGGUGAAAUGCGUAGAUAUCGGGAAGAACACCAGUGGCGAAGGCGCUCUGCUGGGCCAUAACUGACGCUCAUGGACGAAAGCCAGGGGAGCG